UUAAAGAAUAUUCACUCAUUUAUUUUUGCAUUCAGUGCUUCACAACCAGUCCAUGAGCUCUUCUAGCUACAAGCCCUUGUGCUGGAAUUAUGGAGGUGAAAUAAUAAAACUCCUGCCUUCCAGUAAUUCACAAGAAAUAGAAGAAUAGAAGAAAGAGAAGAGUUCGGCACUUCCUAUGCAAAGCAUCCUGUAGCAAAGGCAAUGGUAGAAUUGCAAAAAUGUU
rnacentral:lncRNA from 1 species